rnacentral:rRNA from 1 species
AUUGAACGCUGGCGGCAGGCCUAACACAUGCAAGUCGAACGAGUGGCGGACGGGUGAGUAAUGUCUGGGAAACUGCCCGAUGGAGGGGGAUAACUACUGGAAACGGUAGCUAAUACCGCAUACCAUCGGAUGUGCCCAGAUGGGAUUAGCUAGUAGGUGGGGUAACGGCUCACCUAGGCGACGAUCCCUAGCUGGUCUGAGAGGAUGACCAGCCACACUGGAACUGAGACACGGUCCGGACUCCUACGUGUGGCAGCUGUGGGUAAUAUUGCACUAUGGGCGCAAGCCUGAUGCAGCCAUGCCGCGUUUAUUAAGCAGGCCUUCGGGUUGUAAAGUACUUUCAGCGAGGAGGCGGUACUCGCAGAAGAAGCACCGGCUAACUCCGUGCCAGCAGCCGCGGUAAUUC